GAGGGGAUAGCUCAAGUGGUAGAGGGCAUGCUUAGCAUGCGUAAGGUCCUGGGUUCAAUCCCCAGUACCCCCU
rfam:Camelus ferus unplaced genomic scaffold scaffold1484, whole genome shotgun sequence.